AUUGAACGCUGGCGGCAUGCCUUACACAUGCAAGUCGAACGGCAGCACGGGAGCAAUCCUGGUGGCGAGUGGCGAACGGGUGAGUAAUAUAUCGGAACGUGCCCAGUCGUGGGGGAUAACGCAGCGAAAGCUGUGCUAAUACCGCAUACGAUCUCUGGAUGAAAGCGGGGGACCUGCAAGGGCCUCGCGCGAUUGGAGCGGCCGAUAUCAGAUUAGCUAGUUGGUGGGGUAAAAGCUCACCAAGGCGACGAUCUGUAGCUGGUCUGAGAGGACGACCAGCCACACUGGAACUGAGACACGGUCCAGACUCCUACGGGUGGCAG
rnacentral:rRNA from 1 species